GGAGUAGGCCAGAUGAUCGCUGUCUGACACCGUCAGAGGGAGGAAAGUCCGGGCUCCGCAGGGCAGGGCGCUGGGUAAUCACCAGCGGGGGCGACCCCAGGGAAAGUGCCACAGAGAGAAGUCCGCCCGUUUCGACGGGUAAGGGUGAAAGGGUGAGGUAAGAGCUCACCGGGUUCGGUGGUGACAUCGGAUGCCAGGUAAACCCCGCCAGGAGCAAGGCCGAAUAGGGAGGCGUUAAGGGUGGCCCGCCCGUGCCUCCGGGUUGGCUGCUUGAGGUCAUCGGCAACGAUGAUCCUAGAGGAAUGAUCGUCACCUGUUGACAGGUAACUGACAACAGGAACAGAACCCGGCUUACGGCCUGCUCCAGCC
rnacentral:RNase_P_RNA from 1 species